UAGCAGACUGGUAUGUUAAGUGCGCA
rnacentral:piRNA from 1 species